UUUGCAGAUGAUGUUGAAACAGACAGGGACAUCAGAACUCUGUUACAGACAGAGUGUUGUAUGAUGAUUUGUCUUUGGGAAUCUCUCUGAUGCAUA
rnacentral:snoRNA from 1 species